CGGACGGGUGAGUAAUGUCUGGGAAACUGCCCGAUGGAGGGGGAUAACUACUGGAAACGGUAGCUAAUACCGCAUAACGUCGCAAGACCAAAGAGGGGGACCUUAGGGCCUCUUGCCAUCGGAUGUGCCCAGAUGGGAUUAGCUAGUAGGUGAGGUAACGGCUUACCUAGGCGACGAUCCCUAGCUGGUCUGAGAGGAUGACCAGCCACACUGGAACUGAGACACGGUCCAG
rnacentral:rRNA from 1 species